AUUGAACGCUGGCGGAAUGCUUUACACAUGCAAGUCGAACGGCAGCACGGGGGCAACCCUGGUGGCGAGUGGCGAACGGGUGAGUAAUGUAUCGGAACGUGCCCAGUCGUGGGGGAUAACGCAGCGAAAGCUGCGCUAAUACCGCAUACGAUCUAUGGAUGAAAGCGGGGGAUCGCAAGACCUCGCGCGAUUGGAGCGGCCGAUAUCAGAUUAGGUAGUUGGUGGGGUAAAAGCUUACCAAGCCUACGAUCUGUAGCUGGUCUGAGAGGACGACCAGCCACACUGGGACUGAGACACGGCCCAGACUCCUACGGGAGGCAGCAGUGGGGAAUUUUGGACAAUGGGCGCAAGCCUGAUCCAGCCAUGCCGCGUGCAGGAUGAAGGCCUUCGGGUUGUAAACUGCUUUUGUACGGAACGAAAAGGUUCUUUUUAAUAAAGAGAGCUCAUGACGGUACCGUAAGAAUAAGCACCGGCUAACUACGUGCCAGCAGCCGCAGUAACAC
rnacentral:rRNA from 1 species